AAGGCCAAAGAGGAAGUUUGGCCUGGAUCCCGAAGUGUGGAGACAGUAAGAGACUUUCCUAUGGCAAAAGGUUCCCAGCCUCCGGGAUGUGACAGCAUUGAAGAAGGAUUCUCUCGUUUUCCUUUCUGGAAUUAGGGGCAGUGCUUUGAUCAAACAGGCAUCCUGACAAUGCUAAAUAGAAUUGGUAGAUUUGGUGUUUUAUGUGAACUGACAACACUUGAGGAAAAGCAAGAGAAAACCUGAGGUCAAGUACCUGUCAUGGUAUGACUGGAUUCCCUGCUCAGCAUCUCACCAGGCUACAAUUAAGGUUUGACAACAGGAGUGUGAACAAAGACAAAAGAGACAUGAGGCUUAAAGAGAUGUUGCUGCUGCCCCACAAUGUAUGUCCCAUGUUGAAAUCACAGAAUUGAAACUAGAGGUGUUUGCAAAUGAAACCAGAAAUCCGAUCAUUAAAACUGCAAUAUCGCUGGUGCCUUCUAAAGACCAGAGCACUCAACUGUCUCCAGAUUAAAGCUCCUGGUCUUCCACCCUGCAGAAAUGGCUGAGAAACAUCGUAAGGAUACUUAAAAGUUGGAAAACUUGCUAUGGUUAAAGAGGUGGAUUACAACACUCAGAAGUCUGCAUGAGAACAGAACUUGCGUCGCAGACAGAAAAGACACCUAGAGAAAGCAUGGCAUGUAAGCAGCGUGUUCUCACAGGAUGAGAGAUUCUCACAAGAAGGAAAUGUCUUGCUCAUCCUAGAGAAAGUUUCAUCAAAUUAUAAUGUAGUAUGUAUAUUAACUUAGGUACAUGCUCUAGUAAUAGCUCUGCUAUAAUUUGUAAAAAAUCAAAUAACAGUAGGCACGCCUGGAUGGCUCAGUCAGUUAAGCGUCUGACUUUGGCUCAGGUCAUGAUUUCACAGUUUGUGGGUUUGAGCCCCGUGUCAGGCUCUAUGCUGACAGCUCAGAGCCUGGAGCCUGCUUCAGAUUCUGUGUCUCCCUCUC